ACUCCUACGGGAGGCAGCAGUGGGGAAUCUUGGACAAUGGGCGCAAGCCUGAUCCAGCCAUGCCGCGUGAGUGAUGAAGGCCCUAGGGUCGUAAAGCUCUUUCGCCAGGGAUGAUAAUGACAGUACCUGGUAAAGAAACCCCGGCUAACUCCGUGCCAGCAGCCGCGGUAAUACGGAGGGGGUUAGCGUUGUUCGGAAUUACUGGGGCGUAAAGCGCGCGUAGGCGGACUGGAAAGUUGGGGGUGAAAUCCCGGGGGCUCAACCCCGGAACUGCCUCCAAAACUCCCAGUCUUGAGUUCGAGAGAGGUGAGUGGAAUUCCGAGUGUAGAGGUGAAAUUCGUAGAUAUUCGGAGGAACACCAGUGGCGAAGGCGGCUACCUGGUCUGCAACUGACGCUGAGACUCGAAAGCAUGGGUAGCGAACAGGAUUAGAUACCCUGGUAGGAUAGCG
rnacentral:rRNA from 1 species